GACGAACGCUGGCGGCGUGCUUAACACAUGCAAGUCGUACAGUAAGGCCCUUUCGGGGGUCCACGAGUGGCGAACGGGUGAGUAACACGUGAGUAACCUGCCCACAACUUUGGGAUAACGCUAGGAAACUGGUGCUAAUACUGGAUAUGUGCUCCUGCUGCAUGGUGGGGGUUGGAAAGCUCCGGCGGUUGUGGAUGGACUCGCGGCCUAUCAGCUUGUUGGUGGGGUAGUGGCCUACCAAGGCGGCGACGGGUAGCCGGCCUGAGAGGGUGACCGGCCACAUUGGGACUGAGAUACGGCCCAGACUCCUACGGGAGGCAGCAGUGGGGAAUAUUGCACAAUGGGCGCAAGCCUGAUGCAGCAACGCCGCGUGCGGGAUGACGGCCUUCGGGUUGUAAACCGCUUUCAGCAGGGACGAAGCUUUUUGUGACGGUACCUGCAGAAGAAGCACCGGCUAACUACGU
rnacentral:rRNA from 1 species